UACAGAGGUCUCAAGCGUUGUUCGGAUUCAUUGGGCGUAAAGGGUGCGUAGGUGGCGGGGUAAGUCUGGUGUGAAAUCCCGGGGCUCAACCCCGGAACUGCACUGGAUACUGCCUUGCUAGAGCACUGGAGAGGGAACUGGAAUUUACGGUGUAGCAGUGAAAUGCGUAGAUAUCGUGAGGAAUACCAGAGGCGAAGGCGGCUCCCUGGACAAUUGCUGACACUCAGGCACGAAAGCGUGGGGAGCAAAAGGG
rnacentral:rRNA from 1 species